rfam:Sphaeroforma arctica JP610 cont1.5860, whole genome shotgun sequence.
GGCUGGUUAGCUCAGCGGUAGAGCGUAAGAUUCCAAACCUUACGGCCGGAAGUUCGAUCCUUUCACCGGUCA